rnacentral:rRNA from 1 species
AAUGCGACCUCAGCUCAGGCGGGGCUACCCGCUGAGUUUAAGCAUAUCAAUAAGCGAGGAAGGAAAAGAAACUNACAAGGAUUUCCCCUAA